rnacentral:misc_RNA from 1 species
AACCUAGCACACCUGCGGUGUGUACCUGCGGAGGGAUCAUUACCGAGUUAUACAACUCAUCAACCCCUGUGAACUUACCUACAACGUUGCUUCGGCGGGAACAGACGGCCCCGUAAAACGGGCCGCCCCCGCCAGAGGACCCCUAACUCUGUUUUUAUAAUGUUUUUCUGAGUAAACAAGCAAAUAAAUUAAAACUUUUAACAACGGAUCU